rnacentral:misc_RNA from 1 species
GAUGAAGAACGCAGCGAAAUGCGAUAAGUAAUGUGAAUUGCAGAAUUCAGUGACUCAUCGAAUCUUUGAACGCACCUUGCACCCUUUGGUAUUCCGAAGGGUAUGCUCGUUUGAGUGUCAUUGUACUCUCACACUUCUAAUUCCUUUCGGGAUUGGGAGCGGUGGACUUGGGUGUUGCUGCUUUAGUUGUGGCUCACCUCAAAUAAGUUAGUGCAACUCUUGGUUGGACAUAGUACGGCGUGAUAAGUGUCUUCGCCGGCGCCUCUGUAAGGAGGGUGGCCGAUCGGGAGCUCUGUGCUUCAAACCGUCUUCGGACAAUCUUUGACAACUUGACCUCAAAGCGAGUAGGACUACCCGCUGAACUUAAGCAUAUCAAUAAGCGGAGGA